GGUGGGGUGGGGGGACAGUCCCUCAGCCCAGAUUGCGAGAUGGUGCAGGCCAGGCCAAGGGACCCCACCAGUGUACG
rfam:Myotis lucifugus cont2.57842, whole genome shotgun sequence.